rnacentral:lncRNA from 1 species
GGAAUAUGCAAAACUGGCUGGGAACAGUCCAACAGUUUGGGGUCAGGCUGUCUUCCUCUGCAAGGAUCUGGGUGAAAGAGCCAGCAGGCAAAACUGGCUUCAUUUGGCAUGUGGUGGAGCUGCCUGCCUGCCUGCUCCCAGGGCUAUGGCCAUUUAACCAUUUCCUUCCUGAGAGGUGCUACCCUCCAUCCUCACCUUGACCCUCUUUUUUGCUGCCAAGCUCCUGACUGCAAUUCAUAUAAAGCCUGCUGUAGCUCUAAAGGCAUUACCAGUGAUGGAGAUGAAGGUGAAUGGAAAGAAAAAGUGCAGGAAUCAGGACAAUCAUUGGAGGAGGAGCCCUGGUUAAACCUGGUGACUGGGGAGCAAGACCUGUGCACCAGGAACUGAAAUGCAAUGCGAGUUUUGUCAAAUCUACAUCAAAAUAAAGUUCCAAAGCAGUAUUUAACA